rnacentral:pre_miRNA from 7 species
UUUCGGAGUUCCUGGGUGUCACAAAUAUCUCGGUGGGACCUCCAAAUGUUAGAACCUAGUGGGGAAACCCCCACUCAAUUCCCAAUUCAGCGUGCACCCAAAAAAAAAAAAAUCA